UGGUUUUGUCUGAAGUCAAACUUUCUUAAGUUUGACCAAAUUUAUAUAAAAGAUUAUCAAUUUUUAUGACAUCAAAUAAAUAUACUAUGAAAAUAUAUUUCAUCAUGAAUCUAAUGAUACUUAUUUGGUUUCAUAAGAAAUAGUAAUUUUUUGUAUAAAUUUGGUCAAACUUAAGAAAGUCUGACUUCAGACAAAAUUAA
rnacentral:pre_miRNA from 1 species